UAGCCGUAAACGAUACUCGCUAGGUGUCGGCCACGGUGCGACCGUUGUCGGUGCCGUAGGAAGCCGUGAAGCGAGCCACCUGGGAAGUACGGCCGCAAGGCUGAAACUUAAAGGAAUUGGCGGGGGAGCACCACAACGGGUGGAGCUUGCGGUUUAAUUGGAUUCAACGCCGGAAAUCUUACCGGGACCGACAGCAACAUGAAGGCCAGGCUGAAGACUUUGCCGGAUUAGCUGAGAGGUGGUGCAUGGCGUAGACGUCU
rnacentral:rRNA from 1 species